rnacentral:lncRNA from 1 species
AGAAGAAAAGGUCAAAAGAGAUAUCCAUGCAAAUCACUUCUAAAAGGUUUUUCAUCUGGAAAACACCUCAGGGACAAACCUGACCCUCAGUUCACUCAAAGAGGUUGGCCCUUCCUGAGCUACCUUAACCCAGAAGGAAUGCUUAGUAAAGUUCAUCUCCAGGACCAAAACAGUCGACGAUUGUAGAAUAAAGUUUGAAGAAAAC